rnacentral:rRNA from 1 species
GUAGGUGGCAAGCGUUGUCCGGAAUUAUUGGGCGUAAAGCGCGCGCAGGCGGUCCUUUAAGGUCUGAUGUGAAAGCCACGGCUCAACCGUGAGGGUCAUUGGAAACUGGGGUACUUGAGUACAGAAGAGGAAAGCGGAAUUCCACGUGUAGCGGUGAAAUGCGUAGAGAUGUGGAGGAACACCAGUGGCGAAGGCGGCUCUCUGGUCUGUAACUGACGCUGAGGCGCGAAAGCGUGGGGAGCAAACAGGAUUAGAUACCCUGGUAGUCCACGCCGUAAACGAUGAGUGCUAAGUGUUAGGGGGUUUCCGCCCCUUAGUGCUGCAGCUAACGCAUUAAGCACUCCGCCUGGGGAGUACGGCCGCAAAGGCUG